rnacentral:rRNA from 1 species
ACGAACGCUGGCGGCGUGCUUAACACCUGCAAGUCGCACGGAAAGGCCCUGCUUUUGUGGGGUGCUCGAGUGGCGAACGGGUGAGUAACACGUGAGUAACCUGCCCUUGACUUUGGGAUAACUUCAGGAAACUGGGGCUAAUACCGGAUAGGAGCUCCUGCUGCAUGGUGGGGGUUGGAAAGUUUCGGCGGUUGGGGAUGGACUCGCGGCUUAUCAGCUUGUUGGUGGGGUAGUGGCUUACCAAGGCUUUGACGGGUAGCCGGCCUGAGAGGGUGACCGGCCACAUUGGGACUGAGAGACGGCCCAGACUCCUAAGGGAGGCAGCAGUGGGGAAUAUUGCACAAUGGGCGGAAGCCUGAUGCAGCAACGCCGCGUGCGGGAUGACGGCCUUCGGGUUGUAAACCGCUUUCGCCUGUGACGAAGCGUGAGUGACGGUAAUGGGUAAAGAAGCACCGGCUAACUACGUG